rnacentral:rRNA from 1 species
UACGUAGGGUGCGAGCGUUGUCCGGAAUUAUUGGGCGUAAAGGGCUCGUAGGCGGUUUGUCGCGUCUGCCGUGAAAGUCCGGGGCUCAACUCCGGAUCUGCGGUGGGUACGGGCAGACUAGAGUGAUGUAGGGGAGACUGGAAUUCCUGGUGUAGCGGUGAAAUGCGCAGAUAUCAGGAGGAACACCGAUGGCGAAGGCAGGUCUCUGGGCAUUAACUGACGCUGAGGAGCGAAAGCGUGGGGAGCAAACAGG